UCCGAGUUGACCCCGGCAGUCUCCUAUGAGUCCCCGGCAUUAUCCGCUGGCAACAUAGGACGAUCCACUGUUGUCUAGUCCAGGUAAGGUUCUUCGCGUUGCGUCGAAUUGAACCACAUGCUCCACCGCUUGUGCGGGCCCCCGUCAAUUCCUUUGAGUUUUAAUCUUGCGACCGUACUUCCCAGGCGGCACGUUUAUCGCGUUAGCUUCGCCACAAAAGGGGUCGAUUCCUUUUACAGCAAACGUGCACCGUUUACAGCCAGGACUAC
rnacentral:misc_RNA from 1 species